AAGCUGAAAUCACACCAUGACGUGUGAAGAGCGCUGUGAGGCAGCGCAGGCAGAGGAGCAAGAGGAGGAGAGGGAGAGGACCUCGGUUCUACAUCAUCAGCAGGAUGCAGCAGUGAGCAGGGAUGUGUAGAUCGGAUAUCGGCUCCGAUGUUGACUAAAUAGCUGGAUCGGAUCCCCCAGGGAGGCAGCCCAACAAACAGGACCAGGGACACCAAGCCUGCGCUAGCCCACCCCCCAGGCGCCGGGGCCAUCUGAGGAGCGAGACCCCCAGGGGCAGAGACAGACACCCUCAGCCCUUCGAGAGUCAGGUCAAGGAAUUAAUUAUUGAUGCCCGUAUAGGCUGAAAUUCUGACUGUUGUUCUUUGGAUUCAGCAGACAUUCUCUCAAUAGCUACAUGAUCUAACAAGAGAUUUUUAAAAGGAGCUUUGUUCAAUUUCUUUCUUGAUUUCCAAUUGAUGAGAAUUGGUUUUCUUGGCGAUGCUUAAUGCAGUAAUGAGAAGUUGUCUUGGUUUGUUUCUACAUUGACUGUAGAGAGAUUGCCUGGCAAGCUAAUAAAGGGGAGGUAGGAAUGAAGAUCCCAAGUGCCAAAGAUAGGUCCUCACACACUCCAAUUACGUCAAUUCGGUGUGUCAGCACAUAUGUGAAUCGCAUCAUCGCCUGGAGCAACCAGUCGUCUCUCACUCAUUGACUCACAUUCCAAAAUAGCAUAGACUUAAUAGUUGUUUUUUUAAUUUUCACUUCAAGUGGGAUUUCUAUUUUUUGUGCGGAGCGCAAAAUGUGCGCAGAGAUUAUAACACCAGUGCGCUAUUACACACGUGCACAGCUUAGAGUGAACAUUGGUUGAGACCUUCGUGAAGCAGGUUAGUUUUACCCAGCUGAUGAUCUGUUGUUGCAAUAGUAAUCAUUGCUUGAGCAGCCAGACCGACAGAGGCGAGUAUGGUAACUUUUCUGCUUUGUAACUUGAUUACUUCGAAAUGUUGUACGAUUACCAUUUUGAGUAUGGGACUGUUUACCUUUCCAAGCUAAAACAGCAUUUUCAUCGCACUCGUGACAAAUACUUCUAUUUACUUCUCUGUGCUUGUAAGAGAUGUGUCAUUAUUUAAGGGGGUUUGCGCUAUUUAUUUUAUAUUAAUUGGACAGAAGAUUAAGAUUUGUGGUUUUUUUAUUGUUAUAUUUUACAAACAUUUAUAUUGCACACAGUAUACAACCAAAGUUAGUUUGGUGGCUCCACUUGCAUUUCAAGCAACAUUAAGACAUGUUAAAACUUAAAUGUUCAGAAUUUAACAGGUAUAAAAAUAUAGAUAUUCAAUCUAGGAUGUAAAGUAUUAAUCCCAUCAAAGAAAAAGCAAAUGUUUUAUUUACAUUUGACAUGUUAUUCUGUUGACUUUAUUUUUGCCAGUGCCUUACAGCACGCUUGGGGAUAUGUGCUCUUUUACAAAUUAGAAAAUACUGUAAGAAUGCCACUUUUAGGUCACACCCCCCCCUCCGAAGAUGAGUUGUUAUGAAUUUAGGCUCGGUAUUAAUGAAAUAACUUUCCCCAUGAAUUUAUCAUCGUCCCAAGUUGGCGCAAAUACAUUAAACAACACAACAGGCCUAUGGCAAAGGACCCUAGUAGCCAUUAUAAAUCUCCCUUGUGGAUGCCGGGUAAUAUUAGUUAGGUCAAAUUGAAUUCUUUUAUGUAUCAAUAUGGCGAUGCCGCGAGAUCUGGAAUCAAGGUCUGAGUGAAACACCUGACCUACCCAUCUUGUUUUGAUCCUUCACCAAAAGGUGUGUUUCCUGGAGGAAUGUAAUAUCACAUUUUAAAUGCUUCUGAUGAUGAAAUAUCCUGGUUCUUUUAACAGGUCCAUUCAGCCCCUCGACAUUCCAGCUAAUGAAUCGUAUAGCAGUCUUCUUAAUGUUCCCACCGUCUUCCAUGAGGAUCUAGGUAGUUAAACAACAAAAGUCGUGAAUACAGAAAACAGAAGAGUAGCAUUGCAGAAUGUCCAGUCCCUUUUUUCCUCUUCUCCUCCUCCCUCCACUCCCGUCUCCCCCUGAAACAAGCAAAAGGAGGCACAACUCGCCAAAAUCUGGGGGUGUCCUUUCCCAUAACCCUAUCCCAAUCCCCCACAAAAAAGAAUACAGAAGUGAAACUAUGCCUAUACUUAACACUCUCCCUGGGGUAAGCUGCAGGCUAAACGUUACACUCCUAGACUUCUUGUCAGACACUUGUAUGCGACUUGGCCGUGAAGGCUCCCAGCAGCAUGAAAGAAUGAUACUAAAACACUUUCAACGUUAAGAUACACUGAUAUGAUAUGGCUUAUGCUAAACGAAUGGCUGCAGCAAAAGUCAUCUAUAUAUUACAAAAACUAUUGGUGUAUAUGCAAUAAAACAUUGAAUUAACCAUACUUGUUGCUAGCAGCAUAUGGGGGUGGUGUAGCCCCCUCAAACCAAGCAACAAACAUUACUGACUACAUAAUUGCUAAAUACAAUGUUCUUAGUUUUGCGCUUUGCCAAACCUCUGGUUAUACAACUUCUGGGCUUCAUCAGGCGAGUUGCAAAUGAGCACGUCGUCUCCAUGUGCGAUGCGCAGCAUGCAGAACUUGACAUUCUUCUGGUACAGGGCUCGCUUGAUGGUGUUAAAUGUUGCUCUCUAUGCUGACAUCCUGGUUAAAUACACAGAGUGGCAUCACGGUACUUGACAUCGUGGUCCCGAGCCCAGCGCAGUGCCUCCUCUUUCUGCUGAAACCUGGAGAAGCAUAUCAGAAACGUGCGUGGAGUUUCCCUCCGGCCGGAUCUGAAGGUCGGGGUCCGGUGAGCCCGCUCCAGUUUGGGUGGUCGUGGAAAAGACAUCUGGGCCCAUCACGCUCAUCAGCAGCACCGACACGAACUUAAGUGGAUCUUUGCCCAAGUUAUCAAGCCGGUCCAAAAGCAGUUGAUUCUGCUUCUGAAGCGUUUCGAUGUCGGACUCUGCUGAGGUUAGCAGCUCAAAGUUCUCGUCGGCAAUGGUUUCCACAGAGGUAAGGCGGCCUUAGGACAAUUGAACAGCAAAUAAGAUUUUGUUGUGUGUGUUUUUUUAUGGCUCACAUCAACAUGACUCAUUGAGGUUUGUGAGUAGCACACUUUUGAAUAAACAGUAUGUAAUAGUAACCGAGUUUCACAAUAAAUGAACGACACAGUAGGCUUAUCAAUUACUUAUAUUUACCAGAAUUGUAAAAUAAUCCACUUCAUUUUACAAAAAAAAUUCAUUUACAAAUACAGCAAUCAAUUGACAAUAAAAUAUAAACUAAACAUCCUCUUUUAUCCAGGCUUACUGAAGAUUGAGAAACAUUUGCAUUUUAGAUCUCGCUGUGGAAAACAGGGAGAGCUCCACCCCUCAUAGCAUCGCAGCUCACGCAUGCGUGAUUUAUUUGCACUAUCGAUGCAUAAAGCUCCAUCCAAAUCAUAGUGAUGUUACGGUCGGAGUUGAGGCUUCGAAGUGUGUCUUGAGGAAACCAGCAAAAAUCCAGGCGAAGUGUGGUUCGGAGCGUGGUCCUGUGACGUAAGCAAUGAUGUUCAAGCCUGCCUGAAGCACUGUACCACAUGACUUAUUCAGGAAGUGGUUUGCUGCACAUCUUGUGUUUGGUUUGGUUGCUCUUUGGUUAGUUAUUAGCGAGUGUUUAAAAGAUGCAAACAGCGAGAAAAAGAACGUUUUCCCCUGUUUGGAGUACACUAGGUCCCCAACUUACGAACACAAUUGGUUCCAGUCGAAUUGCUCUUAAGUAGGGGAAAAGGUAAUAUUACCAAUGAUAUAGGUACUACAUGUACGUGUAUACAUAUACAGUAUAUGUGUAUGUAUGUAAAUAUGAGUUUGGAUGCAGUAGUAAUAUUAAAGGAUAAUUAAUUAAAAAAACAAUAAAAGUGAUAUAAUAAUACGUAGCAAUAAAUGUUAUUUACCUUUGAAGAGGAGUGGUCCAGCAUACGUCGUUGUGGUGGAGUUGGAGGAGGAGUUAUUGAAAAAAAGGACAAAUGGUCGUCGUCAUUAGACUCUUCUAAAAGAGGUAGUGUUCUGUGGGUGGUGUAGAAUUAAGCAGGCCUAUUAACUCUUCAUAAACUUUAAUCACACGCUCUGUCCGGGUUGUACAAUUUAGCUUUCCAUUUAGCUUUACACUAUAUCUCCCCAGCGUCUAACUCUUCCUCUGUUGGUCCCAUUAGCAGCGUCACAGUGCCCUCUACUGGUCAAGCAUGUACAGUAGCAGUAUAAAUACUGAUUGAAUGACUACAAGGCAAAAUAAAAUAAAAUAUAGACCAGUCAGCUUGUGUUCGUAUCCGCGAGUGUUCGCUAGUCGGGUGUUUGUAAGUUGGGGACCUAGUGUACUUUGACUUGAUCACUCCCAAUAAGGUUUGUCUUAUAUAGUAAUUAUAAAAUUGCACAAUGUCUGCUCAGUGCUCACAAAGUAUAAACCAUUUUGUGCAUGCGUACGUUUGCCACAGGUGAAGUGCAUCUUGUGCUCAAGAGAGCUGGGGGUACAGUGGGAAUACCUCAGCCAUGCUGAGGCACCACAGGGCCCUACAUCAGGACACCGUGUCAGCUGGUUCAAGCUCUGGUAAGCUACUUUGGGUGCAAUGGAAGUACACAUUAUACGUACUGUGUCACUGCCUGAUAAAAAUUAAAACAUUUGUAUAUGUAGUUCACAUCUGAGAUUAUAAACUUAUUUGAAUUGUCUUUUGUUGAGCAGUUUGCUUUUAAGUAAUUCUUUUGUUUUUCCAGGUAAGAAGUAUAUAUAAUGGAGGCAUUGAUUGCCAUGGUAGUGGAGAAUUGUCUGCCAUUCUCUAUUGUAGAUGCGAGUGGGGUCAAAAAAUUGGAAAUCACUGAACCCAUAGGGUACCCCUACUCGCCAGGUGUGAAUUUAAAUACAGUAUAUCGAGUACAAGUGGUUCUACUAUUGCUUGUGAAUUGUAUUUACAGUAUUGCUUUGAUUUUCAUCUUGUAUUUAGGCCAUGAAAGCGAAAAAGAUGAUUCGAAGGAGAAGGCUAAAGCCGCUGUGUGUUGUGUUAGGUGUUACGCACGUUCCAUCACACACUGCCUUAAAUUUGGCCAGUGUAAAAAAAAAAAAAAAAAACACACUUGUAUAGUGGGUGUCUGUAACAAAGUCACCUGCCUAGUCACAGAUGGAGCUGCCAAUGGGUGCAUGCGCUAAAGAAAUGGGAGUUUGCCACGCCAUAUGUGUGGACCAGUCAUUAAAUCUGUUUAAAAAAAAACAAAAACACUUAAUUCUAAUGAGGAAUUAUCAGAAAUAAGGGACAAAAGCAGGAAGAUCAUUGGAUAUUUCAAGAGCAGCACUACUGCAAAGGUAAAAUGUCCCACCCACAUCAGUUUCUGUCACACACACGUGUAUAUUUAUGGAUAAAAAAUAAUUUUCUGUACUUUUAGGAGAGACUAUCGCAUGUUCAACUGCAAAUGAGUCGGCCUGUUCUCAAACUACUCUAGGAGGUGGAGACACGUUGGAAUAAUACAGUUAAUAUGCUCCAGAGACUUUUCCAUGAAAGAGAACCUGGCCGGCUUGACUACUGAUAUUGCUCCUCUUUCUUCCCAGCAUCUCAACACAAUUUCAGAUUAUUUCAAGGUUCUGGCACUGUUCAAUGAUGCAACUUUGAGUUAUCAGAGGAAAAGCGUUUGUCCGGGUCUAAAAGUCAUCCCUUUGCUGGCCAUGCUCCAUCAUGCUCUGGAAAAAGAGGAAAUAAAUGGGGGCACUUAAGAGGGAAUGCCAUUUGGGGUGUCUAAAAAAAAAAAAAAAAGCUCAAAGUAUUUUAUGUCUCAGCACUAUACAGGAUCCAAGAUUUAAAAUAAAAAUUGUUUUUCAAGGUUCUUGACCUUCUCAAUGUUAAAAUGACUUGAGCUCACUUCUGUUGAGAAUUAGCGCUGCAUAAAUAAGUUCAUGUCAGAAGAAUGACAAACACGUUUGUGUAGGAGUCACUUGAUUUUAAACGAGUAAUUGGAAAAGAACAAAGAAUAAUUACAACCUCGCACAUAGACGCCAAGCUUGAUAUUCACACAAAGUAAACACAAGAUAAGCCUACUGAUGGUGCUGAGCUUUCUGAUCCAUCAUACCAACUGAACGGCUCUUCAAAGCUACUUUUAGAGUCUCCUAGUCAGGCUGAUUAGCAACAAUUAACAGCUGAGUCCCACCUCGCAAGUGUAGCACAUCCACCUGAUGAGCAGGGUGACGCGAUAAUCAAUAAACUGAUUAACCACACGACAAACAAAAACAAACGUGAUCAUUUUGCAGGCAGUGAUAAAUUGACAUCCGUGUUUGUUGGCGCUAGCGAGUGUACACACAGUGCUGCAAGUGAGUGCUGUUAGGAGUAACAAGCACGCAAAUGCAAAUUGGUGAUUCUCAUGAAAGCGCUACGAGUGAAUGAGUAUUCACAGGCGUACUAGCGGCGGUGCAGUAACUUUCAAGGGUCAUGACGCAGAUACUACAGUAAUUUGUAGCCCUAGCCAUGUGAAAAUGUACUGCAAACAUAUUGUAUUAAACAGAGGAAACAGUGUGGAAUGCUUUCUUGGUGCCUGUUGUGUAUAAAACACCAUCACAUGUCAAUUUCAGCCUGUUUGCGCAUCGUCAUUGUGUGAAAUGAAAACGCUUGUGACAAAGACAAUGAAAGAAACAAUACAAAACGGUGGAACCUACGUUUCAGCUGCCGUGGUUCUCGAAUCAUAACACCUCGUUGUGCACCAAAACUCCAACAAAACGCCACACCUCAUUAAACAAAAACAGCGUAUUCCACAUUGUAUAUGAAUAGUAUUUUCCCAAUAUUCAGACAAAAAUGAAAGUGACACUGAUUCAAAAUCAGAAAUAUUGUAAUUGAUUAUGAUUUUUAUUUGAGUGCAUAUUUUUCAAAAAUACACUUAUUUUCACUGGGG